rnacentral:rRNA from 1 species
UACAGAGGGUGCGAGCGUUAAUCGGAAUUACUGGGCGUAAAGCGUGCGUAGACGGUUAUUUAAGUCGGGUGUGAAAUCCCCGGGCUCAACCUGGGAAUUGCAUUCGAGACUGAAUAGCUAGGGUACGGUAGAGGGAAGCGGAAUUUCCGGUGUAGCGGUGAAAUGCGUAGAUAUCGGGAGGAACACCGGUGGCGAAGGCGGGUCUCUGGGCCGAUACUGACGCUGAGGAGCGAAAGCGUGGGGAGCGAACAGG